GACGAACGCUGGCGGAGUGCUUAACACAUGCAAGUCGAACGGAAAGACCCUGCUUUUGUGGGGUGCUCGAGUGGCGAACGGGUGAGUAACACGUGAGUAACCUGCCCUUGACUUUGGGAUAACUUCAGGAAACUGGGGCUAAUACCGGAUAGGAGCUCCUGCUGCAUGGUGGGGGUUGGAAAGUUUCGGCGGUUGGGGAUGGACUCGCGGCUUAUCAGCUUGUUGGUGGGGUAGUGGCUUACCAAGGCUUUGACGGGUAGACGGCCUGAGAGGGUGACCGGCCACAUUGGGACUGAGAUACGGCCCAGACUCCUACGGGAGGCAGCAGUGGGGAAUAGUGAACAACGGGAGGAAGCCUGAUGAAGCAACGCUGCGUGCGGGAUGACGGCCUUCGGGUUGUAACCCGCUUUCGCCUGUGACGAAGCGUGAGUGACGGUAAUGGGUAAAGAAGCACCGGCUAACUACGUG
rnacentral:rRNA from 1 species